AGGGCCGAAUCAUCACCAAAGAAAGCCGAAAGGUCCAGGUGCGCGAGGGGAAGGAGCUGGUCUGGUCGACGGGAGCAGAGCGGCUGGGGCGGAGACGCCGCAUCUCCGGCGGGAGGAGGAGCAAAUGAUGGUGGCGCAACCUUCUUCCUCCUCCCGGCCUCACAUUUGGCAGCCAGUACGGCUCAGGCGGCAGAUAUGGACGGGGAGCAGGCCAAGACGCGCCGCCACGCCACGCCGACGGCUUAGCGCGCGAGGCCGUCCGUCCGGGUGGAGCGAGAGCUUCUCAAAGCGCUGAUGUUUGUCGUCCAGAGAAGCUGGCCACUGGUGUCUGACAAGGCAAGAUUAGAUCCGCUUGUGAAGGCGAGUGUUGCAGAAGAAGGAUCGGUUAUCGGCAUAGCACGGUUGGCAACCCACACAACGUUGUCUUCAGGUAUGUUCCUGUACCAUAUGCCGACGUAGUAAUAUUUUGUGCUGGAGCUGGAUGGGGAGAAGAAUCCCAGGGCAAAAGUGCCGUCGUCGGAGGUGAUGGUGCUACCAGCGGAAAGCGGCUUGUCGGGAAGAAGGCGGCUGCUGGAUGAUGCAUAAAAUGGCAAUAAACAAAAUGACCAACAAACAAGGCAGAUGAUUGUGUGUAUGGGAAGGGGAUCCAUUGCUGUAGCGAACUGUGGAGGAACUGAGAUAAUGGAAGCAAAGCAGUGGAUGAGUUAUUUUUGGACAUUGCAAAUCAGAACUCCUGGGAGAGGCAGAGCCUGUCAAGCAUUUUAUUGUGGUGCUUUUCCCACAGGAAGCUAAUGGGAAGUGGGAACCUUGGAAGGAGUCAAUAAGAGAUAUUUACUAGGAAGUUUGAAAAUGUUGGACUAGCCUUCUCAGCAAAUUAGAAUAGACAUUUACUUUUUCUUUGAGGUGUGACUGCUAGGUUUCCUUGUUUGAGUGUGCUGGCUGCUGGUACUAUUUUAGUUGGAUUGCAUAUGUUUAGGAACAGAACAAACCUCUUGUUCCGGUUUUGGUAUGUAACCUUAGAUGUUUUUCUUGGAACGAAUCUAUCUGUUGACCGUAUACAUAUGAAAUUGCAGGUAAAUGUUAACAUCAGUGGUGCAGGAAAUUCCAUGGUCUUCCCAUUGGACUUGCAUCAGCUAUUGUUUGAUCAUGUAAACUAUAACUGGAUGGGUUAAAAACAUGGACAGAUCAGCUCAUUAAAAAGAAAAAAAAUUCUUUUCUUUUGGGUUUCGGAAGAACAUCAUUGGAUGCUGACUUGAUGUACAAAGGGGCCUUGUCCUUGUUUCUUAAAAAUGUGAGGUCAAACUCUGUGGGUGGACUCACAUAUUCGUUCUGGUCUUUGCAAUUAUAGAAGCUUGCCAGCUAUGCAUUUAAGUGUUCAGUCGUGCCUGCGUUUGCAUCCCUAGCUUUGCAAGAAAAAGGAUUUUUUAGCAGUCUUGUGCAACUGUCUGAAAAGAGUGUAUCACCUGAAAAGGAUGUUUAGCUUUCUAUGCAUCUAUUUUAUUGCAGAUUUGCUCAGAGUGCAUUUCUUGUAUCAUAAAUGUGUAACUCAGAAAUGUUUUUUGCACUGGAGGAGGUGAAAGCACAGCCAUAUACAUACUUGCUAAGAUGGCAAGGCUGGGGCAACUCUGUAUAAGUUGCACACAUGGGCAGCACUGUAGCAACUCAGAGGUAGUUACAGCAGAUAUUCUUAUGCUCGACUGAUCGGGAUAUCGAUCUGCAAGUGAUUAUCUGACCUUGUUUUCCUGAGGCAUAUGGCACUAUAACUGCCACUUGCUUUCUGCAGCGAUGUCCAGGGUACUGAUAAGGUCAUUUUGAGAAGUGUAAAACUAAUAACCAUGUUCAUCUAGCACUGCAGCCAUGGCAUAGCUGACUCUCUAGCUUCCGAGAUUGUUCCUAGCAACAGGCAUGGGUUUACUGCAGACUGGUCUCUCGAUUGGGUACAGAUACAAGCUAGGGUUUCAGCAAGAAAAGGGGAUCGGGAGAAGGAGCCGGCCGGAGGUGGGAGAGAAGAUACACACCCAAAGACGGUCCGUUCUGUCCGGUGAUCUAUUGAUACCCACUACACAGCACUCGCAGCUAUUAAGUACCACUCACUGCCUCCACUCCAGGCCGAUGACACGCACAUUGGGCUUGGCACCCCUCCUGGGCCGUUCCGGUUGGGCUUUGGCAGUCACGGUGUAAUUGUUCCCGUGACAUUGCAGCUAGCUUCGUCACUAUGUGGGGCCUGCGUUCGGGUUGGGGUUAGUUGAAAUGUUUCGCAGAGUUUUGGUGGACGCGGGUACGGAACUAUGGAUAGGCGGUGGCUCUGUUCUACUAGCGCCUCCAUGGCUUGUAAUGAGCCGAUUUUACAUGGAUUGAUGCUUAGUUCCGAUAGUUGCUUAGCUGCCUUGUUCUAUUUCGUUGGUUUUGGGGAUGAUUUGAUGCCAGUUUGUUCGGGGACAUGUAUUUCAUCGUGGCGUGCAUCUGUAAUAAUGAAAUAUUAUCAUGGUUUUCUGUUCGGGUCACAUUUGUUCAUAAAUUUUCAUGUGGCUUAUUUAAUCGCUCAUGGACAUUCUGUUAUAUGUACGGGCCAUGUGCGCUUGUGGAACUUCAGAUGCUUGUCCAUGUAAGUUAGUGCAUUGAUUCGUGCAGUGUUUGAGUCCAUGACCAUGUCAAUUGCCGGUACUGGAUCUGCCUCGUUUCAUAUGCUCAACUCCGAAUGCUUUUAUGUAAAAUAUGAAUGCUCAACCUCACAUGAUUAUACACUUGCUUUGGUUAAUUUCGGUUGGAUGCUAGACUUCGCGUUGUGUCUGUGUUGAUGUUUAGUUAGACUGCCAGUUAACAUUUUUCUGCUGGACUCUUGAUGAACAAAAGUCCCCUCAGCUGACAUGUGUCACAUGGUAUUGUUUGUAUACAGAUACAGGGCACUGCAUCGUGGGUGUCUGGCUACAUGGAUCUGUUCUUUGGUCAUCCAGUUGUGCUGUUUGUCAUAGCCCUAUAACUCUGCUGGUGUCCUGCUGCGUGAUGAACCAGAAACGCUCCUAUCAUGAACCGAAUUGAGCAGUACAAUGGCUGUUUUGCUGGAGUUCCUCACAGUAUGAUUCAGACACUGCAAUUUUUCGGAGCACUGCCACAUCGACUCGGAGGCGGUUCCAAAUGCUUCAGCUCGAAGCAAGGAAUGGAUUGAUGCUGGGAGGUGCAGGGUAACAGCCCUUGUUGAAAGACCUCCAGCCCUUUUACAUCAGGAGGAUGCUGAUAGAAUUCAGAGGCAGACGACAAGGACCUCCCUUGUUCUUCAAAACCCAAUUCGCAUUGGCAGUUAAGUCCAUCCAUUGGUCUACUUCUGUCAUCUUCAUUUAUCAUGUGAUGUCAGUGGGCCUGACACUAAUCGGUCAAUGACACUUAGACAACAGAUACCAUGGUCUAGUGCUGCAAUGUGCUAUUUACUAGAUUCUGCAUGACCCGUAAACUGAUAUCAGUUCUCUAAAAAUUCCAGUUAAUUACGUCCAUAAUAUUCUGAGUGAUCACUAAUAGAUUAGCAGUGUACCAACUGAAAGUCGAUCCUUAGGUUGCUAAGUUGUAAAAGGAAUUACAGAGCCUGCCAGUGUCAGACAACCAAUUUCAUAGCUCAAAUUCAUAAGUAAAAUGUUACAAACUGCGAGGUUACUAUACAUCAUUGUUCUUUAUUGUGAGCUUUCAUAAUUCCUCAGGUAUCAGUGGGUUGUUUUAAAAUAAUUUUUCACAUCGCUCAAGUAAUAAGUUGAUAACAACUAAUAUCUCACUGAAAAUUCUGUUUUGAGUAAUGCAGGAGCAAUUUCAUCUCAAGAGAAAGGUGUUUUUUAUUGGAAGAACUAUUAGUUGCCCAGCUGAAUUUAGUUUUCAGGAUGCUAAUCGAUUCUCGUCAUGCUGUGGUUUAGGAUUUACUUGAUGGGAACUAGGAAAAUCUGGAUUAGUUCAGAGUUCAGAGUUCAGACAGACUACUUCAUUCGGCAUAUCUCCAUCAGUCACUGCAUAUUGAAGCCCUGCAACCUUUCUAUUGCGUUGUGAAUUAUCCUGGUUGGAUAAUAUCAUAUGCUCUGCUGAGAACCCACCAUGCAAAGCUUAGAAUUAGACUUGUCGAAGAUGAGAUGUAUUUCGAUGAAGUCUUGAAGAAUCACACAAACAAAAAUUGCCAGAUUUUCUCGUUGGUGUUGGUCUGUUUAGGCUAGUGCAGGGUGUUGGUUUAUUCUGUCAUCAUUUGUAACUAUGUCUGGGCAUCGGCCAGAUUAGAUAGUAUUUCCAUAUGAUGUGAUUUCCCUCACUUAUCUAUAUGAACCUUGUACUUGUGUAGUUUCGGCCACUGAGUUUAUGGUUAGCAA